GUCCUCAUAUGACUGUCCAGGCUUAUCAUCGUCCCUUGUUUUUUCAAAGAGUGGCGAUUGUAAAUCUUUCGUUACAGGGUCUGUGUAGUUUUCCCGGAUGUCAAACUUGCUUGUGCAUGGUUGAAAGGUUGAAGGUUGUCCUGUAGGUAAAAUGUUGGUUAUUUUAACAUUUAACUCAAGAGGAACAUGCUGCUUGUUAAUGCAGGUUUCUCCUAUCACUACCCAACCAAGUUUCAAUUGUUGUGCAUAUGGAGUUCUGGGUGGUCCUAUGCGCUGGUCGAGGACAUGGUGUGCCUCUAUAAGGUCUCUGCCAAUUAAG
rnacentral:lncRNA from 1 species